UGACCUCAUAUCAGACGUGGCGACCUGCCGAAUUUAAGCAUAUUACUAAGCGGAGGAAAAGAAACUAACCAGGAUUCCCUCAGUAACGGCGAGUGAGGAGCCCAGUGCCGAAUCCCCGCCCAGGCGAUGGGCACAGGGAAAUGUGGCUUAUGGUAGUCUGUCUCCCCGGCGCCUCCUAGGGCGCCCAAGUCCUUGUGAUCAAGGCUCAGCCCGUGGAUGGUGUGAGGCUGGGGGCGGCCCCUGGUGCGUCGGGAUCAGGUCUUCCCGUAGUCGGGUUGUUUGUGAAUGCAGCCCAAAGCAGGUGGUAAACUCCAUCUAAGGCUCAACACUGGCACAAGACCGAUAGUGGACAAGUACCAUAAGGGAAAGUUAAAAAAAACUUUGAAGAGAGAGUUCAAGAGGGUGUGAAACUGUUCAGAGGUAAAUGGGUGGGGUCCGUGGGGUCCGCCCAGAGGAUUCAACCCAGCGGCCAUGCCGGCUGCCCAGGUGAGACAGAUCCCCCUCCCCCUCUGGGGGGUGGGGGACCGUCCCCGGGCAUGCCAUCUGCUGUCGGACCCACUUCCUCCGAGGUGGUGCACCGCGACCGGCUCCGGGUCGGCUGGGAAGGCAACAUGGAAGGUGGCUCCCGUCCCCGGAGGGGAGUAUUACAGCCUGCAGAAUCAGCCCUCGCUGUGCCCUGGGGUCGUGGGAGACAACCACCGCCACACCCUCCCCCGCCCUCAUGGCAGGGGUUUGGGGCCCCCGGUUCCCAGUGGGACUGUCAACUGGGCUGAACUGCCCUCAGUGCGGCCCGACCAUGUCCCGCCACCGGGCCAGCAGGCUCACCUUCGGUGUCCAGGGUCCGCAGUGAUGUUGGUGAGCCACCCGUCCCAUCUUGAAACAUGGACCAAGGAGUCUAACAGGUGUAUACCGCCGGCCCGUCUCACCCAUCCCAUCGGGGAGGUGGAGCGUGAGUGCACCUGGUUGGACCCGAUAGAUGGUGAAUUAUGCCAUGGCAGGGAGAAGCCAGAGGAAACUCUGGUCGAUGUCCGUAGCGGUCCUGACAUACAAAUCGGUCGUCUGACCUGGGUAUGGGGUAAAAGAGUAAUCGAACCACCUAGUAACUUGUUCCCUCCAAAGUUUCCCUCAGGAUAGCUGGCACUUGGCGGACGCAGUUUUAUCUGGUAAAUCAAAUGAUUAGAGGUCUUGGGGCCGAAACGAUAUCAACCUAUUCUCAAACUUUAAAUGGGUAAGAAGCCCGACUUGCUGGCUUGGAAGCGGGCGUGGAAUGCGAGCACCCAGUGGGCCACUUUUGGUAAGCAGAACUGGUGAUGCGGAAUGAACCAAAUGCCGACGCUCAUCAGACCCCAGAAAAGGUGAUGGUUGAUAUAGACAGCAGGAUGAUGGCCAUGGAAGUCGGAAUCCGCUAAGGAGUGUGUAACAACUCACCUGCUGAAUCAACUAGCUCUGAAAAUGGAUGGCGCUGGAGUGUCGGGCCCAUACCCAGACAGCACUGGGAGCUGAGGGGGCUAUGCCAUGAUGAGUAGGAAGGCCACUGCAGUGGCACUGAUGCCCAGGGUGAGGGCCCGGGUGGAGCCGCCAUGGGUGCAGAUCUUGGUAUUAGUAGCAAAUAUUCAAAUGAGAGCUUUGAAGGCCGAAGUGGAGAAGGGUUCUAUGUGAACAGCAGUUGAACAUGGGUCAAUCUGUCCUGAGAGAUAGGCGAGUGCCAUUCCAAAAGAACGGGUGAUGGCCUCUGUCACCCUUGGCCGAUCGAAAGGGAGUUAGGUUCAGAUUCCCGAAUCUGGAGCGGUGGAGACGGGCACCUCACAGCGUCCAGUGCGGUGAUGCAAACGAUCCCAGAGAAGCUGGUGGGGGCCUCUGGGAGAGUUCUCUUUUCUUUGUAAAGGGCAGGGCACCCUGGAAUGGGUUCAUCCUGAGAGAGGGGCCCGCACCCUGAAAAGAGUCACAGUUUUGGUGGCAUCAGGUGAGCUCUCGCCGACCCAUGAAAAUCCGGGGGAGAGGGUGUAAGUCUCGCGCAGGGCCGUGCCCAUAUCCACAGCAGGUCUCCAAGUUGAACAGCCUCUGGCAUGUUAGAACAAUGUAGGUAAGGGAAGUCGGCAAGCCAGAUCAGUAACUUCGGGAUAAGGAUUGCCUCUAAGUGUUAGGUCGGUCGGGCUCAGGUGUGAAAUGGGGCUGGGCACAUGCAGCAGCUGAACAAGGCAUCGCCAGCCCUCACUGUACUCCCCCCUCUAGGGGGGGCCAGCGGGUAUGGCAGCGGUGACUUUGGACGUGCGCUGGGCUCUUCCUGUGGAUCACCCCAUCUGUGGCGAGCACCGGUCCCGACCAGCGUCCCGCAUCAUCUGGCAGUUAGAAGCUGACUUAGUUCUGGUGCAGACCAGGGGAAUCCGACUGUUUAAAGCAAAGCAUCGUGGAGGCCUGAGACGGGUGUUGGCGCGAUGUGAUUUCUACCCAGUGCUCUAAAUAUCAAAGUGAAGAAAUUCAAUGAAGCAUAGACUCUCUU